AUGCGGCAAGGAGUUCCGGACGCCGCAGAACUACCGGCGCCACCUGCUGGUCCACACCGGCGAGAAGCCGUACAAGUGCGGCGUCUGCGACCGCCAGUUCAGACAGUCCAACCAGCUGAAGUCCCACAUGCAGCUGCACACGGGCGUCAAGCUGUACUCCUGCGGCCGCUGCCGCCAGGGCUUCUCCGACUCCCGGCAGCUCCGGAAGCACCGCUGCGGAGACGAGCCGCACGGCGUUCCCGAGGUCGGCGGCUCCGGACGGAACCAAGACGUGCAGCCGUGGACGGCAGCCGCCUCAGCCAGAAACCCCAGAGUCUCUGUGUGAAGAUCUGCAGACCUCUGCUUCCUGUCAUGAACUUCACCUGGACGCAGGUGGGAGGGGUCAGAGAGAGAAGACCUUACCUGGACUCAGGUGGGAGGGGUCAGAGAGAGAAGACUUUACCUGGACUCAGGUGGGAGGGGUCAGAGAGAGAAGACUUUACCUGGACUCAGGUGGGAGGGGUCAGAGAGAGAGAAGACCACCUGGACCCAGGUGGGAGGGGUCAGAGAGAGAAUACCACCUGGACCCAGGUGGGAGGGGUCAGAGAGGGAGAAGACUUUACCUGGACUCAGGUGGGAGGGGUCAGAGAGAGAAUACCACCUGGACCCAGGUGGGAGGGGUCAGAGAGAGAAUACCACCUGGACCCAGGUGGGAGGGGUCAGAGAGAGAAUACCACCUGGACUCAGGUGGGAGGGGUCAGAGAGAGAAGACCUUACCUGGACUCAGGUGGGAGGGGUCAGAGAGAGAGAAGACUUUACCUGGACUCAGGUGGGAGGGGUCAGAGAGAGAAGACUUUACCUGGACUCAGGUGGGAGGGUCAGAGAGAGAAGACUUUACCUGGACUCAGGUGGGAGGGUCAGAGAGAGAGAAGACCUUACCUGGACUCAGGUGGGAGGGGUCAGAGAGAGAAUACCACCUGGACGCAGGUGGGAGGGGUCAGAGAGAGAGAAGACUUCACCUGGACUCAGGUGGGAGGGGUCAGAGAGAGAAGACUUUACCUGGACUCAGGUGGGAGGGGUCAGAGAGAGAGAAGACUUACCUGGACUCAGGUGGGAGGGGUCAGAGAGAGAAGACUUUACCUGGACUCAGGUGGGAGGGGUCAGAGAGAGAAGACUUUACCUGGACUCAGGUGGGAGGGGUCAGAGAGAGAAGACCUUACCUGGACUCAGGUGGGAGGGGUCAGAGAGAGAAGACUUUACCUGGACUCAGGUGGGAGGGGUCAGAGAGAGAAGACCUUACCUGGACUCAGGUGGGAGGGGUCAGAGAGAGAGAAGACUUCACCUGGACUCAGGUGGGAGGGGUCAGAGAGAGAAGACUUUACCUGGACUCAGGUGGGAGGGGUCAGAGAGAGAAGACUUUACCUGGACUCAGGUGGGAGGGGUCAGAGAGAGAAGACCUUACCUGGACUCAGGUGGGAGGGGUCAGAGAGAGAAGACUUUACCUGGACUCAGGUGGGAGGGGUCAGAGAGAGAAGACUUUACCUGGACUCAGGUGGGAGGGGUCAGAGAGAGAAGACUUUACCUGGACUCAGGUGGGAGGGGUCAGAGAGAGAAGACUUUAUCUGGACUCAGGUGGGAGGGGUCAGAGAGAGAGAAGACUUCACCUGGACUCAGGUGGGAGGGGUCAGAGAGAGAGAAGACUUCACCUGGACUCAGGUGGGAGGGGUCAGAGAGAGAAGACUUUACCUGGACUCAGGUGGGAGGGGUCAGAGAGAGAAAACUUUACCUGGACUCAGGUGGGAGGGGUCAGAGAGAGAGAAGACUUUACCUGGACUCAGGUGGGAGGGGUCAGAGAGAGAAUACCACCUGGACCCAGGUGGGAGGGGUCAGAGAGAGAGAAGACUUCACCUGGACUCAGGUGGGAGGACAAAGGUGCUUUCCGGUUUUCUGGAGGUCCGAUCUACAAAUUGA
rnacentral:lncRNA from 1 species